rnacentral:rRNA from 1 species
UACGUAGGGGGGCGAGCGUUGUCCGGAUUUAUUGGGCGUAAAGAGCUCGUAGGCGGUUUGUCGCGUCUGCUGUGAAAUUUCGGGGCUCAACCCCGAACUUGCAGUGGGUACGGGCAGACUAGAGUGUGGUAGGGGAGACUGGAAUUCCUGGUGUAGCGGUGAAAUGCGCAGAUAUCAGGAGGAACACCGAUGGCGAAGGCAGGUCUCUGGGCCAUAACUGACGCUGAGAAGCGAAAGCAUGGGGAGCGAACAGG